ACAGCAACCUUAAUUCCAACAGC
rnacentral:miRNA from 1 species